GCGGGGGUUCGCCAAGUCAGGUCAACGGCGCAGCGUUGAGGGCGCUGUACCAUAGGGUUUCGUGGGUUCAAAUCCCUCCCCCCGCA
rnacentral:tRNA from 1 species